UUUAUGAUUUUCUGUUGGCUUUGGGGAUUUGCUUGAUAAGGUUAUUUUGGUAAAUGUAGGAUUAUUUGACCAUCUAUAUAUAAUUUGGCAAAGCUACAGCUUGCUGGAGUGCAGUUUCCAUAUUCUACCAGCAAUUGGUACUCUUAAGCACCUUUUAUUCUCAAGCUGAUCUUCCUGAAACUUCUCUGGUGCACCAAGUGGAACCCAAACUGGGUGGGGAACAAAUCAGUGCACCUGUUCUCUGUGUGCACUGGGGACUGUCUGCCCAAGGGGUGCAAUGCGGGCCCUGUGCAGUUCGACAGGGAGUCCAGUCAAGGGCAUCCUCCAGCACAAAUGUGCCUGCUCCCUGCCUGCCAUGCACCCUUGAGCUUCUGGGGUGUGGGAAGGGCUCCUGAUGCCUCUGUACAGCACCCUCUCCUAUCCCCACUUCUUGGUGGUGCACACCCCAGGCUUCUAUGGAGGGAGAGUAAAUGAUGUCUCCUGGGUUCCCUCACAGGAGCUCCCUGCCAUAUAGCUAUGGAGGAUCACUUCCUCAGCUAAUAGCCAAGGUGGGUCACAGGAGUGGAGAGCUGCUGGCCCUGGGAGGCAGUUCCAGUCAAACUCACCCUGUCCCUCAACUUAUCGUCUCUCUGUAUUUUUUUUCAUGUCCCCACCAUGUACUGUAGGGGUACCUCUAUGGCCAGUUACACUCAGAAAACAUGAUUUGGGGCGUCCUCUGGCUCCUUUCUUUCGUGGAGGAAAAUCUCGCUCUGCCUCACCCACUCCACCACCUUCCUGGAAGUCCCUGAGUGGGCUUACUUCACUUCAAAUUUGGGUCGCCUCUGCUUUGCCAGUCCAGAAACUUGCAGAGUUUUCACUAUAUACAAAACCUAAUUCCAGUUGGAUUAAAGGCCAACUGCCUCUGAGAAUGAAUAUUCCCAGGAUUGUGGGCCAUUUUGACUCCUUUUUGUGUUUCUUGAGGAGAGACUUAAAAAUAAGGCAGGAGGCAGAAGAUAGCAUGUUGGCAGCUAGUGAAAAAGAUGAUUCCUCCUCUGUCUUCUCUAGGCAAUCCUAUCCUUCUUUCAGGCUCCCCAAAGUGGGAUGUGUUCACAACCAGAUGGAAGACAUAAAAACAGUAUGAGAAGAAGGAUUCAUACAUUUUCCUCUUGGGGGUGGGGGCUCUACAGGAAAACACACAUGUAUUAGUUUCCUAUGACUGCUGGAACAUAUUACCAAAAACUUAGUGGCUUAAAAUAAAACACAAAUUUAUUCUCACAGUUCUAGAGGUCAGAAGUCUGAAAUGAGUUUUCCAGGCUAAGAUCAAGGUGUUGACAGAGUUGGUGCCUUCUGGAGGCUCUGGGAGAGAACUCGUUGCAUUUUCCAGCUUCCAGAGGCUGUCCCCAGUCCUUGGCUAGAGGUCCCAUACCACAUGGCCUUUCUCCCGCUGUUGUCUUCAUAUCUUCUCUACCCACUCUGAUCUCCUGCCUCCCUCUUAUAAGGACCCUUGUGAUUCCAUUGGGCCCACCCUAAUAUUCCAGGUCAAUUUUUCCAUCCCAAAAUAAUUAACUUGGUCAUAUCUGCCAAGUCCCUUUUGCCAUAUAAGGUAACACUCACAGUUCUGGGAUUAGGAUGGAAUGUCCGGGGGGCCAUUAUUCACCUAUCAAAGCAUACUAAAAGUGAAAUUCUUUACCAUAGUAGAAAAGCCUGCCUAUCCCAAAAGCUCUUAUAAGGUAUUUCUAGCCUUCACAACUAAAACAAAGCAAGAACCCAACUGAUACAUUGGUCACAUAUAUAAAAUUUCCGGGCGAAAAAUGGGUAUGAUCCUCAAAAUCAGCCCAUUGAAAACAUAACAGCUUUAGAGCUAAUUGCCACCGCUGGGAAGAGGAAUGUGUGCACUUAGGCUCACACUCCAACAGGGACACAGAGGAAUAGGGAGAAUAUAAUUUAUAAUGAGCUUUGGAAUAUUAUAUAGAACAAAAAAAAGUUAAUCAUUAGGAAAGUGCAAUGCACUCUGUUAGCUAACAUAAAUCUAUUUGCCCCUAUUGGAACUAUCUCCUUUGCUUACACGUUUCUUUCCCACUGUCCCCCCAACCAGAAAGUCAAGGCCGUGAGAGCAGGGGGCUUGUGUGUCUUAUGUGCCCAGAUCUCAUUGCAUCUAAGGCCUGUUUAUUUGUCCAGGAAGAACUCACCCAUCUUGGCUCACGUCUUGGGGUGCUGACACCACCCGUCUAUUUGGACUUGGUAUCUGUUCCAUUUCCUUUGGUUAAGUUUACAUCUUCCAAAGCAGACCUAGCCUCCUCCCUGCUACUCCCAGUGCAGGAGGAUGGAGUCACUGCCCCCCGCUGUCUUCUGCCUGAAAUGAAACAUCCUGGUUUCAGCCAUGAAAUGGUUAUCUGCUCGGCGUCUCUAAUCAGCUAACUCCUGCUCUGUUCUGCUCAGCACCACUCACUGACUCACACCAACAACCAGAUUGCUGACAACACAACUGUCCAAAGCAUAACAUUUUUAAAAGAAUGAAAGAAACCUAAAAAGUAAAAAAGGAUAUGCGUAAGCAAUACCAGCUUAUUCCUGUACCCAGCUAGCUUUCUUCCCGACAAUCGUUUGUCUAUGUGGGUAACUUAACUGCAUGCUCCCCAACGUUAUACUUCCCCUGGCUGGAUCCUGGUGGCCUGCCUGGAACCUGGUGGCUAGAUUCUGUGGCUUAUCUGACACCAGGCGUCUUGCUCAGGAGGGGUGAUCUACUCAGUGGUCCUUCUAGAGCAGGAGGGGUGAGCAUGUGCCUGAUCCUGGGUUCUGCCUCAUCUUGUUCAACCCCAUAAUAAGUCUUCCUUUUUUUUUUUUUUUUUUUUUUUGCCUCUUCCUGUUCUUCCCAGGCCAGUCCAGUCCUGCCUGCUGGUCGUCCUGGUGUUCCCGCUGCAAGCUAGCUUGGCAUAGUUUAGAGGCUGCUGGCUCUGCACCAGGGCCUGUUCAUCUGCCCCUCCCAAGCUGACAAAAUGGAGAAUAUAAACCCCAACUCCAAAAUCUGGGGCUGCAGUCCCAUUCGGGAAUCACAAUAUGCUUGGCUUGAAUCUUAGGUUACCACAUGGCAGCUUUGUGAUUUGGACAAGACACACUCCCCUCUUAGGGCCUCAGGUUCUCGUCUGGACCAUGGGGGUGAUAUAGUAAAACCCCACCACCAGGUGAUGAGUGGGGCAAAAGAAGUCAAGCUCAUAAAAUGUAGGGUCGCGUUAUUGAGAAGUUAACAAAAUGGCCCAGAUGAGCUUGUGCCACUAGCCAGGUAGGCACCUGGGAUUUGCAGGGGUCUGGCUACGUGAAUCAAAUCUUUUCCAGUCCCAGCUGUGGUUUGGCACCUGGGCAUUAGUCUGGGAUAAAUAUUGAUAGGGACAAUUAUCAAUUGGAUCCUGUAGCUGGCUAAAGUUUCCAGAACAGCAGCCAUAAUUCCGGGAAUCACCCAGUUAUCUGGCACCCAUUGUAUCUGAUGGAUGCAGGGAAAUUUGGCUGGGAGAAUACCGAGGACACAGGGACCCACUCUCUGCCUCCUCACUUCCCUUGAGGGAAUUGCACUCCUCCCCAUCAGCCCACAGGAACGUCAGCUCAAUCCAUGAGAGAACAGAGGCUGGGGGAAGGGCACGUGCUUGGAACCAAAUAAUUAUGCAAUAUCCAGAUCUGCUUUACUGAGAAUUACUUCAAUGCCUAGCCUAUGGGUAUUGCUGUGAGGAUUAGGGGUAAUAUAUGAAUGCAUCAUAUUUCUCAGCAUGUAGUAUUUGCUCAUUAUCAUUAGAUAGAUAAAUGCUGCAUCCACUUAAUAAACAAAUGUUUAUUAAUUAUCUACUAUGUUCCAGGCACUAAUCUGGGUCCUAUGACUACAGCAGUAAUAAGAUAUAUGGCAUUCUUGCCCUUAUGAAACUUAUAGCAGAAAUGACAGUUUGGGCCAAUGCCCUGGAAGCUGUCAAGGUUAAGACCUAAUAUAUUUUUUUAAAUACCACCUUAAAUACUUAAAAAACAUUUAAGGUAUUUAUAUUUUGGAACAGAGUAUUCAAUUCUCUUGUCUAAAGCAGUGGUUCACAAUGGGGGUCGAUUUUGCCCUACAGGGGUAUUUGGCAAUGUCUGGGGACAUCUUUUGUGGUCGUAACCGGGAUGGGGGUGCUCCUGGCUCUAGUGGUAGGGUUCAGGGGUGCUGCUCAACAUCCUACCUUGCACAGGAAAGCCCACCACCACACAGAUUUACCUGGCUCAGAAUUUCAAAUUGCCAAAUGCUGAGGAACCAUGGCCUAGAGAGUAGCUGCUUAGUACAUAGUUGUUUUAUUUUGGCUGCAAAGAGAGAGAAACACAUUUUUAAUUCUCAAAAGCAUUAGAAAAACUGGCCCUCAUGAUCUAUGUUCUGUACUGCUAGCCCAUGUUAGAGGAGACAGGGUGGAGAGGGGUCUUCUACCUUCUAGAUUCAGAAAAACAUUUCUUUCCCCAGCAAAGAGAACUGACACCAAGUCUGUGUAUCAGAGAAUUCAGCAGUCUAUUCGUUUGAAAAGCAAUCAGAAUAUGGACAAAGCAGAGGAUGAAGAAGAGAGAGACAAAAUGAAAAGAAAAUGAAGAGGGAGAGGCAGGGGGAGAGGUGGAGGAAGAACAAAGACACCAAAGGAGAAGGUGGCCAACAGCACAGAGAGUGGAAACAGCCAGUCCUCAGCUUCUUGAUUUCAAAAGUCCUAGUUUGCCCACUACACCCAGCCAGUAGUUGCCUUUUUAUGUCUGACUCUCUUCUUUGCCUUCUACAGGCUUCCAGGCUCCUUCCCUGUCUCCUGGCUUCUGGGUAGAGCUGGAAGCUCCCGUGUCCCAACUGGGUUCUGGUUUAGGAUGCUGUUUUGAAGCAGCAUCCAGCUCUGAAGAGAAGCUGGUACAUGUAUGUGAAAUUCGAGACAUUUUGGCAUGCUCGGUCACCUUAUCACAGUGGACUGUCAGUAAACAGUUACUGCUGUUGUUGACAAAGCUUGAAUACCUAGUAGUUAGUACCAGACACAGGAUGUAUGAUUUGUCCCCACUCAUAUUGGUUGGAUGAUGACUCAAACUGUGAUAUGAACCCUUUGAACUCUGUAUUUCACGCCCUAUUAGCUGAAUGAGCUAUAUACUUUUUCUUAGAAAUGAAAUUUGAUUUUUAAAAUGUACAACCAUGUGGUCUAAAGUGUGUAAAAUAAUGCAAUAUUUUACUUGGAACUUGUUGCAGAUGCUAAAUGUGCUAUUACAGACUCUGAUAUAGACUAAUUUAUCUGAGCCCCCCUACAGAUGCUGUCUGUAUUAUAAAGUCAUCCGGAAUGGAAAGUGUCAAGUUAAUCAACAGCACUUGUAAUACUUGUGGUUAAAUUAAUUUUAUUUGUGCUCUAUCAAGCAUCACUUAUUUUUAAAAAUUUUAUUUACUGAAGUCAAGUGUUCUAUGACAUUUCCCUAAAAUAAACACAACUUUAAUAAA